UACGUAGGGUGCGAGCGUUUGUCCGGAAUUAUUGGGCGUAAAGAGCUUGUAGGCGGUUUGUCGCGUCUGCUGUGAAAAUCCGGGGCUCAACCCCGGACUUGCAGUGGGUACGGGCAGACUAGAGUGUGGUAGGGGAGACUGGAAUUCCUGGUGCAGCGGUGAAAUGCGCAGAUAUCAGGAGGAACACCGGUGGCGAAGGCGGGUCUCUGGACAGUUCCUGACGCUGAGCACGAAGGUCAGGGGAGCAAACGGGG
rnacentral:rRNA from 1 species